rnacentral:rRNA from 1 species
GUAGGUGGCAAGCGUUGUCCGGAGUUAUUGGGCGUAAAGCGCGCGCAGGCGGUUCUUUAAGUCUGAUGUGAAAGCCCACGGCUCAACCGUGGAGGGUCAUUGGAAACUGGAGAACUUGAGUACAGAAGAGGAAAGCGGAAUUCCACGUGUAGCGGUGAAAUGCGUAGAGAUGUGGAGGAACACCAGUGGCGAAGGCGGCUUUCUGGUCUGUAACUGACGCUGAGGCGCGAAAGCGUGGGGAGCAAACAGGAUUAGAUACCCUGGUAGUCCACGCCGUAAACGAUGAGUGCUAAGUGUUAGGGGGGUUUCCGCCCCCCUUAGUGCUGCAGCUAACGCAUUAAGCACUCCGCCUGGGAGUACGGCCGCAAGGCUG